AUGGGGGACUCGGAGGAGUUCGCGGCGGAGCUGUUGGUGGCAAUGUCGAGGCGGAGCAACCUCGAUCCAGACGAGGGUGUCAACAAGGAUCAGCUCAAGGAGCUGUGGGAGGAGGUCACCGACCGCAAUUUCGACUCGCGCCUCCGCAUUUUCUUUGACAUAUGUGACAAGAACGGCGAUGGGAGGCUCACGGAAGACGAGGUCAAAGAGGUGGGGAGGGCUAUUAUAUUGAGCGCGUCGGCGAACAAGCUGAAGAUCGACGCCGCCGCCUACGCGCUACUGGUCAUGGAAGGGCUCGACUCUGACCACCGUGGCUACAUCGAGAGGUUGCUCAAGGUGUGCGUGUACGUGCUUGCUCCAUUGCAGAUGUGGCAGCUGGAGACGUUGCUGCGUGGGACGGGAAUUAUUAGAAAGGUUCGUUGGAACAAUGAGCAGAUGAAAUUUCUCAAGGUUGCAAUUUAUCCAGGAAAUGUGCUUUGUCUUGGCAUGCAUAAGCCACAGGGUUUCAAGUACAAGAGUGGGAUGCACCUGUUUAUCAAAUGUACUCAAGUCUCGACUUCUGAAUGGCAUCCCUUCCCCAUCACCUCUGCACCUGGAGAUGACAAUCUAACCGUGUAUAUCCGUACCGUUGGUAAUGGUGACUGGGCAUCUCAGCUCGUGAACAUUUUCGCAAAGUGCUGCCAGCCACCUGCCCGGAACGAAAUCGCCCGGUUUCCCAUGGUCUUUAUUGACGGUCCUUAUGGUGCACCGGGGCAGAAUUACAAGAAAUACGACAUUGUCUUAUUUAUCGGUCUUGGGUUCGGCGUCACUGCUUUUAUCAGCGUACUAAUAGAUAUCAUGAACAAUGUUUAUCCCACCGAUGAGGCGGAAAGCACACGUGGUUCUGAGGUCAAGAACAACUGGCCAGAAAGAGCUUACUUCUACUGGGUCACCAGAGAGCAAGAAUCCUUCGACUGGUUCAAAGGAAUCAUGAAUGGCAUUGCCUACCUCGACCGCAGCAAUGUAAUAGAGAUGCACAAUUACCUCACCAGCAUGUAUGAAGAAGGCGAUCCAAGGUCAGCGAUGAUCUCCGUGCUUCAGUCACUCCAACACGCCAAAAUUGGCGUUGAUGUCAUCUCUGGAAGCAAGAUUUGA
rnacentral:rRNA from 1 species